rnacentral:rRNA from 1 species
UACGUAGGGUGCGAGCGUUGUCCGGAAUCACUGGGCGUAAAGCGCACGUAGGCGGAUCUUUAAGUCAGGGGUGAAAUCCUGGAGCUCAACUCCAGAACUGCCUUUGAUACUGGGGAUCUCGAGUCCGGAAGAGGUGAGUGGAACUCCGAGUGUAGAGGUGAAAUUCGUAGAUAUUCGGAAGAACACCAGUGGCGAAGGCGGCUCACUGGUCCGGUACUGACGCUGAGGUGCGAAAGCGUGGGGAGCAAACAGG